GCCAUGAUCCGGAACGGGCAUGGGGCUGCCAGCGCUGCUGGGCUGAAGGGUCCGGGAGAUCAGCGCACCGUGCGGGUGUGGUGCGAUGGCUGCUAUGACAUGGUGCAUUAUGGCCACUCCAACCAGCUACGGCAGGCACGGGCCAUGGGGGACUACCUCAUCGUGGGCGUGCAUACGGAUGAGGAGAUUGCCAAGCAUAAGGGGCCCCCGGUGUUUACCCAGGAGGAGAGCUACAAGAUGGUAUAGGCCAUCAAGUGGGUGGAUGAGGUGGUGCCCGCUGCUCCCUGCGUCACCACCCUGGAGACACUGGACAAGCACAACUGUGACUUCUGUGUUCUCGGCAAUGACAUCACGCUGACCGUAGAUGGCUGAGAUACCUAUGAGGAAGUGAAGCAGGCUGGGAGGUACAGAGAGUGCAAACGCACCCAGGGUGUGUCCACCACAGACCUCGUAGGUCGCAUGCUGCUGGUGACCAAGGCCCACCACAGCAGCCAGGAGAGUACCGGGAAUAUGCUGACAGUUUUGGAAAGCCCCCUUACCCGACACCUGCCGGGGACACACUUUCCUCAGAAGUCUCCUCCCAGUGCCCUGGGGGGCAGAGGCCCUGGACAGGGGUGUCCCAGUUUCUACAGAGAAGAUCAUCCAGUUUGCUUCUGGGAAGGAGCCCCAGCCCGGGGAGACUUUGACCUGUUCCACAUCGGGCACGUGGACUUCCUACAGGAGGUGCACAAGCUAGUCAAGAGGCCCUACACUUUGACCAGGAAGUAAACCGGUACAAGGGCAAGAACUACCCCAUCAUGAGCCUGCACGAGCGGACUCUCAGUGUGCUGGCCUGCCCGUAUGUUUCAGAAGUGGUGACUGGGGCACCGUACUCCGUCACAGCGGAGCUCCUGAAUCACUUCAAGGUGGACCUGGUGUGUCAUGGGAAGACAGAGAUUGUACCCGACAGGGAUGGGUCUGACCCCUACCAGGAGCCCAAGAGAAGAGGCAUCUUCCAUCAAAUUGACAGUGGCAGUGACCUCACUACAGACCUGAUUGUGCAGAGGAUCAUCAAGAACAGGCUGGAGUAUGAAGCACGAAAUCAGAAGAAGGAAGCCAAGGAAUUAGCCUUUCUGGAGGCCACGAAGCAGCAGGAGGCACCGCCUGGAGGGAAGAUUGACUAGCUUCUGACCCGGAGAUGUUGUUCACGCCCUUGCCCUGUGCCCANCUCUUCUCUUCCUGCCCAGCUCUGCUUCUGUGUCUUGAUGUCAGCUCACACAAUUCCAAAGGAAACUGGCCUUGCUGAGGGUGCUGCCUGCCUUCAAGGCACCCGCCUUGCAGCAGGCUCUCAGCCCUUCCCUCUGAGCUGCUCAGAGAGGGUAGCUAGCACAAUGAUGUGGCCCAUGGGCAGGAUAAGCAGAUGCACCUGUGACUGACUGGAGACGUGUUGCUGUGUAUCCCGGGCAUCCAUGGGUUCCAACUGCCACUGCCCCAGUCUUGGCCAGGGAUACCCCUCCUGCCUGACUGAAAGCUGCACAUCUGCCCACUUAGCUUUGGUUGAAAGGUCCAGAGGCUUUGGGGACCUCUGUUCCUGGGCCACCCUGCCCGUGGGCACCCUCUACCUU